AUUGAACGCUGGCGGCAGGCCUAACACAUGCAAGUCGAACGAGUGGGGACGGGUGAGUAACAUGUGGGUAACCUCCCAUCAGAGGGGAUAACAUUUGGAAACAGGUGCUAAACCGAUACUGAUGUCUGGACCCGCGGUGCAUUAGCUAGUUGGUGAGGUAACGGCUCACCAGGGCCACGAUGCAUAGCCGACCUGAGCGGGUGAUCGGCCAGACUGGGACUGAGAAAAGGCCCAGACUCCUACGGGAGGCAGCAGAGGGGGAUCUUCGGCAGUGGACGAAAGGCUGACAGAGCUACGCCGCGUGAGUGAAGAAGGUUUUCGGAGCGUAAAUCUCUGUUGUUAGAGAAGCGGUAUCUAACCAGAAAGCCACGGCUAACUACGUGCCAGCAGCCGCGGUAAUUC
rnacentral:rRNA from 1 species